rnacentral:rRNA from 1 species
CACGCCCUAAACGUUGUCCGCUAGCUAUAGGGAGUAUCGACCCUCUCUGUGGCGAAGCUAACGCAUUAAGCGGACCGCCUGGGUAGUACGAGCGCAAGCUUAAAACUCAAAGGAAUAGACGGGGGCUCGCACAAGCGGUGGAUCAUGGGGCUUAAUUCGUCACUAAGCGAGGAACCUUACCAAGGCUAGAAACCAUACUGCAUACUCCGUGAAAGCGGAGUAGCCUUCGAGGGUGUAUGGCAGGUGA